rnacentral:rRNA from 1 species
AGAGUUUGAUCCUGGCUCAGAUUGAACGCUGGCGGUAGGCUUAACACAUGCAAGUCGGGCGGUAGCAGACAUUUUGAUUUUGCUUGCAAAAUCUCGUGCUGACGAGCGGCGAACGGGUGAGUAACGCGUAGGAAUCUACCUAGUAGAAGGGGAUAGCCCGAGGAAACUCGGAUUAAUACCGUAUACGUCCUUAGGGAGAAAGAGGGCUUAGCUUUGAUGCUCUCGCUAUUAGAUGAGCCUGCGUAAGAUUAGCUUGUUGGUGAGGUAAAGGCUCACCAAGGCGACGAUCUUUAGCUGGUCUGAGAGGACGAUCAGCCACAUUGGGACUGAGACACGGCCCAGACUCCUACGGGAGGCAGCAGUGGGGAAUAUUGGACAAUGGGCGCAAGCCUGAUCCAGCCAUACCGCGUGUGUGAAGAAGGCCUUCGGGUUGUAAAGCACUUUAAGUAAGGAAGAAAAGAGUAUUGUUAAUACCAAUACUCCGUGACAUUACUUACAGAAUAAGGACCGGCUAAUUCCGUGCCAGCAGCCGCGGUAAUACGGAAGGUCCAAGCGUUAAUCGGAAUUACUGGGCGUAAAGCGCGCGUAGGUGGUUUAUUAAGUUGGGUGUGAAAGCCCCGGGCUCAACCUGGGAACUGCAUCCAAAACUGAUUCACUAGAGUACGAAAGAGGAAAGUAGAAUUCACAGUGUAGCGGUGGAAUGCGUAGAUAUUGUGAGAAUACCGAUGGCGAAGCAGCUUUCUGGUUCUGUACUGACACUGAGUGCGAAAGCGUGGGUAGCGACAGAUAGAUACCUGGUAGUCCACGCCGUAAACGAUGACACUAGCUGUUGUGAAGCUAUGCUUUUUCCAUGGCGCAGCUUACGUCUUAAGUUGUCCGCCCUGCGGAGUACGGCCGCCACGGUUGACUCCAUGAGUUGAUCGGGAGCCGCACACAAACUGACCAGAGUGAAUCAUGCACGCGGAAAACAUACUAACUUGCAUACUGGAGCUUGUUAUAGAGAGAAGUGCUUUGUACCAGAAUACACGGUCAUGCUGUUCCUACAUGCUGGAUUGGUAGUCUCACAAAG